UCUGCAGCUCAUGUUUAUUACAAAUCCAGCUCUUCUCUGUGCUGCAGUGGGAGGAGUUGAGCCCGUUGUCAUCCAGGUCAAAGGGGAAAACAAACACCAGUUCCAGAAGCAAUGUUGCCCUUCCCAAACAUUGUCCCAUUGCUACCUCUGGAUAUACCUCAUGUAUAAGAAGAAAUGCACAUUUUGUGGCUGAGGAAACACCAACCAACAACAUAAUAGUGAAAAACAUGGACUCACAGGUUUCUAGAUGACAUCAGCUCCCACACCAUGGGGAUGAGUUUGGUCUUCUGUAGAAAGACUGCUCUGAAACAUCCUUCUCCCAGAGAGAACAGCAGUUUGGGUGGGCCUUGUCUUCCCCAGGAACAUGGAAAUAAAUCUGUCACAAAUGCAACAACCUAAAAUAUCUCA